UGUUUACUUCCGGUGAUGAUUAUUUUCUUAUAUGCAAUGAAAUGUAGUGUGAACAUUUCACUGUAUCACUGGAAAGGAUUAAACUUUACACAUGCAAAGUAUUUCUUUGGUUGAAAUAAAGUGUUAACCAUGUUCUGAAGAGCAUUCUGUUGAAAAAUCUUAUAUGUGAAUUGGUCUGCAGAUGACACUUCAGCAUUAAAACAAAAGAUAUCAAGUUUUGAUGAAAAAGGAAGGAAGGAGGAAAAAAUGGACCAAAACAGACCAAAACAGACCUUCAAAUGAACUCUAAAAGUGUUAACCAUGUUCUGAAGAGCAUUCUGUUGAAAAAUCUUAUAUGUGAAUUGGUCUGCAGAUGACACUUCAGCAUUAAAACAAAAGAUAUCAAGUUUUGAUGAAAAAGGAAGGAAGGAGGAAAAAAUGGACCAAAACAGACCAAAACAGACCUUCAAAUGAACUCUAAAAGGUGCAAUAAAAUUGUUUAUCAUCUUAAAGUUGUCUUUUGUAUUCUAUUUAAUUGUUUGAAUGCAUAGAUCAUGAGUUUAUGAUCAGA